CCGCUGCCCGCCGCCGCCAGCCCCGCGCCGCCGCUGCCCGCCCAUGGCGUCCGACAGCGACACCGAGGAGUUCUACGACGCGCCCGAGGACGUGCGCCCGGGGGGCGCCUCCCCCGCGCCGUCACCGACAAAAGUUGGGUCCCAUGUAUUAAAGGAAACAGACAGCAAUAUACCCAGAGUUGCAGAUGAGGCCCUGAUACAGGAAGUAAAACAAGAUGACUCUAAAGAGGUUAGUUAAACAUCUGUUUACAAGUACAUAAAAAAGUCUAAAUUUAGAUUGAGAAUUUUCUUAGCUGAAUU
rnacentral:lncRNA from 1 species